UUGCUAUUAGAUUCUCUAUCUAUUACUGUCAAUCUAUCUACCACUGCUAAUCUAUACUGCUGUCAAUCUAUCUAUCACUGCUAAUCUAUUGCUGCUAAUCUAUCACUGCUAAUCUAUCACUGUUAAUCUAUACUGCUGUCAAUCUAUCUAUCACUGCUAAUCUAUUGCUGCUAAUCUAUCACUGCUAAUCUAUCACUGUUAAUCUAUUGCUGUCAAUCUAUCUACUGCUGUCAAUCUAUCUAUCACUGUCAAUUUAUCUAUCACUGUUAAUCUAUCACUGCUAAUCUAUCACUGCUGAUCUAUCACUGUUAAUCUAUCACUAUCAAUCUAUCUACUACUGUUAAUCUAUCUAUUACUGUCAAUCUAUCUACCACUGCUAAUCUAUCACUACUAAUCUAUUACUGCUAAUCUAUCACUGCUGAUCUAUUACUAUUAAUCUAUCACUAUCAAUCUAUCUACUGCUGUC
rnacentral:sRNA from 2 species